CUCGCGUGUUGUUAGCUUAGGAAAUUUUAACAUCCCUGCACAGGUCCAGGUCCAGGUCCUAUAUGCGAAACCAAGUUUUGAAACUAGUGAGUAACUAAGGAUGUUUUUGGAACGAGUCAUAUUAUCUUUCACCCGACACUAAUUGGGCCACAAAGUCGCACCAAAAAAAAUGACCCCUCCUGAUGACCCGACCCAGAUGAGGAUAGGGUUCCGCAUUUUAAGAAACGCAGCAAUAUAAAUACCCUAACGAGGGUUUUUCCAACUCCGCCCAUUCAGUUUACCUUGUGCUGAAAAUUGCCGUCGUUCGCUGAGAGAAGCUUGAGAGCGUUCAUCAUCCACCAUGAGAGCGAAGUGGAAGAAGAAGCGCAUGAGGAGGUUGAAGAGGAAGCGCCGAAAGAUGAGACAGAGAUCUAAGUAGGCUGAUGGACAGGAGAUGAUAUGCGUUUCCAUCCUGAUUUGAUAAUGGCUUCAUGACAUGUUAGACAGUUAUGACUCAUGAUCUUGAGGUCUGGCCAGGGGGGGAGGCCUCUCUCUGGACUUAGUUUAGUAGUAAUUUUCUAAGACUUUUGUCAGCGGCGGUUAGUUGUUUUGUUGAACUUUUUAUAUGGUGUUUGUACUUUGUACUGGUUGGCUUAUACUUAUAUGUGCCAAUGGCUUAUGUUAAGACUUGUAUGAAAUUGGUUCCUUUUAUA